rnacentral:rRNA from 1 species
UGUAGGUGAACCUGCUGCUGGAUCAUUACCCACGUGAU